rnacentral:rRNA from 1 species
UAAGGAAUAUUGGUCAAUGGACGAAAGUCUGAACCAGCCAUGCCGCGUGGAGGAUGAAGGUCCUCUGGAUUGUAAACUUCUUUUAUAUGGGACGAAAAAGGGCUUUUCUAAGUCAACUGACGGUACCAUAUGAAUAAGCACCGGCUAACUCCGUGCCAGCAGCCGCGGUAAUACGGAGGGUGCAAGCGUUAUCCGGAUUCACUGGGUUUAAAGGGUGCGUAGGUGGGUUGGUAAGUCAGUGGUGAAAUCCCCGAGCUUAACUUGGGAACUGCCAUUGAUACUAUUAAUCUUGAAUACCGUGGAGGUCAGCGGAAUAUGUCAUGUAGCGGUGAAAUGCUUAGAUAUGACAUAGAACACCAAUUGCGAAGGCAGCUGGCUACACGAACAUUGACACUGAGGCACGAAAGCGUGGGGAUCAAACAGGAUUAGAUACCCUGGUAGUCCACGCCCUAAACUAUGGAUACUCGACAUACGCGAUAAACUGUGUGUG